UUUUAUGAGAGAAAGUAGACAACGCCCUCACAAAUCACGAGUUUAACAAUUAGGAAAAGGAUAGAGAAGAAGAGAAAAGAAAAGAAAAGAAAAGAAAAGAACAGAAAAAGAAAUAUAGAGAAGAGUUCCUGACCUUUACACAAUUUGCGCUAACCCUCGAUUACAAUUUUCAUCCAUUUCCAGUUUUCUAUGUAAAAAUCGGCUAAUCAACACAGUCAAUUUCGUAUUUCCAGAAUCAACUCUAAGGAGCAGAUAACAAAUUGGGCCAAAACGAAUUGAAGAUCUUUUUUCGACGAUUUCCAUCAAAUUGAAGGCACUUCACCUCACCGGCAGUUCCACUCGUGUUGCGCCACGAGCCACGAGUCACGUCUGUCUGCAUUACGACCGUUGUCCAUUGCCUUAUAGCAUUGUAGGGACGGAGAGCAAUACAUUCCUAACUGAUAUAACUUAUAACAAGGGAUUUUGGGAAGAAACUUGGCUUAAAUAGGAAUUUUUUAAAUGUGUAUAAGAGAUAUAGUGUGUUUUAAUGAGUAAUAAGCUAUAGCAGUUUGAAUAUUUGAGUUUCACUUGCAAGGACCAUGGAUGGUUGCACUAUGUGAUUACAAUUGUUGGACAUAAGAUUAUUUGUCUAACAAUCACUACCGUAAUAGGAUUCUGGUGUUUAGGGGCUGAUUUUGUGGCGAGGGAGAAGGUUGUCGUUUGUUAUGGUAUAUAAUGCUUUGUUCUUCUCUGAGGACCCGAUUACAGUCCUGGCUUCGUGAUUACGAUAAGCUCCAAUCCGUUGCCAUCAUCCUCCUAUACGUCCAAAUUGGAUGCACAUUGCUUGGAUCUUUAGGACCACUGUAUAAUGGGGUGCUGCUUAUCAACUUGGCGAUAGCGUUGUUUGCCCUUGUAGCUAUUGAGAGUGGCAGUCAAAGCCUUGGCCGAACUUAUGCCUUUUUGCUUGUCUCUGCAAUCCUGUUGGACAUCAUCUGGUUUGUUCUGUUCUCCAAUGAGAUAUGGCACAUCUCGUCAGAGCAUAAUGGACCUUCCUUUAUCUUUUCCUUGAAACUCACUCUGUUAAUGCAAAUAUUUGGAUUAUCAAUCAGAAUAUCGUCUGCAUUCUUAUGGAUUCAGAUGUAUAGAUUGGGGAUUUCACAUGUAGAAAGUGCAGCUUCUCGAGAAGCAGAUUUUGAUCUAAGAAACAGUUUUCUAAGUCCUGUUACCCCUGCUGUAGCUAGGCAUCAAUCCUCAGAUUCUGAAGAUCAACUAGGUGGAUCUAUUUAUGAUCCAGCAUACUACUCUUCGCUUUUUGAAGUUAGCCAAGAUGACAAAUGCUCAAAAAAGUUGCACCCUUGCAGGGACAAAACAAUGUGAAGGAUGGUGAUCCUUCGUCACAGGCUGAAAGUUGUAUAUUGAAGCUGUCAGUGGGGAGUGCUUUUCAGGCUUUUGUGGACGAGAAUGCCGACACUCGUCAUCUGAACAGCUAGUAAGAACAUAAUCAUCUUUGUGAAGAUACUUUUCAGAGUUUGAUGAGCACUUCUUGCGUUAUUACAGAGAUUGAGGGUCGUCGACACUGAGCACUGUACACAGAAUUUUGUAGAAAGGGCGUUGUCAACAUUGAGCAUUGUCCAUAAAUUGAACAGGAUGAGUAGUUCAGUAUUGUUAUAAAACAGGAUACAUACUAAAAAGAAAAGGGAUGUUUUAGCUUAUAUUUAAGCCUUGUGAGAAGAGCUUUCCCAUAAUCUGGUUAGAUAUAUGUCGUUGAGCAUUUAUUUCUUCUUAUUAAUGGAUAACAUGGUAUACAUCAUCAAGGUACGAUAGUUCUGGUUUCA